CUUGGUCCUUGUGGUCCAUUGCUUUGUCCAUUUGGUCCAUUUUGUCCAAGUGGGCCGUUAGGUCCUAGUGGUCCAUUUGGUCCUAGUGGUCCAUUUGGUCCGAGAGGACCGUUUGGUCCGAGUGGACCAUUUUGUUCGUAUGGUCCAUUGUUUUGUCCGUUAUUGGGUCCACUUGUUGAACUUGCUGAAGCAGUGGCUGAAGCAGCAGAUGCUCCUGGUCCUUGUGGUCCGUAUGGUCCCUGAAGUCCAUUGUUUGGUCCUUGUGGUCCAUAGCUUGGUCCUUGUGGUCCAUUGCUUUGUCCAUUUGGUCCAUUUUGUCCAAGUGGGCCGUUAGGUCCUAGUGGUCCAUUUGGUCCUAGUGGUCCAUUUGGUCCGAGAGGACCGUUUGGUCCGAGUGGACCAUUUUGUUCGUAUGGUCCAUUGUUUUGUCCGUUAUUUGGUGCGUAUGACCCACUUGAAGCAUAAGCGUUUGCUUUGGCUAUUUCGGGUCUUUCUAUAACAAUGAUUUCUUCACCGCUUGUAGCAGUAACACUUGCAGAAGCUGAGGAUCCUGGUGCUUCUGGUCCGUAUGGACCUACUUGCCUAUUGUUUAAUCCUUGUGGUCCAUUGUUUGGCCCAUUUUGUCCAAGUGGGCCGUUAGGUCCUAGUGGUCCAUUUGGUCCUAGUGGUCCAUUUGGUCCGAGAGGACCGUUUGGUCCGAGUGGACCAUUUUGUACGUAUGGUCCAUUGUUUUGUCCGUUAUUUGGUCCACUUGUUGAACUUGCUGAAGCAGCGGCUGAAGCAACAGAUGCUCCUGGUCCUUGUGGUCCGUAUGGUCCCUGAAGUCCAUUGUUUGGUCCUUGUGGUCCAUUGCUUGGCCCUUGUGGUCCAUUGUUUGGUCCAUUUUGUCCAAGUGGGC